AGUUUGAUUCAGCUCAGAUUGAACGCUGGCGGGAUGCUUUACCACGCAUGCGAGUCGAACGGCUGGCACGGACUUCGGUCUGGUGGCGAGUGGCAGACGGGUGAGUAAUGUAUCGGAACGUGCCUAGUGGCGGGGAUAACUACGCGAGAAAGCGUAGCUAAUACCGCUGCAUACGCCCUUCGAGAGAAGCGAGACCUUCCGGGCCUCGCACUAUUGGAAACGGCCGAUAUCGGAUAGCUGGUUGGUGGGAGUAACGGCUCGCAAGGCGACGAUCGUAGCUGGUUUGAGAGGACGACCAGCCGCACUGGGACUGGGACACAGCGGCCCAGACUCCGCUCAAGGAGAACAUGAUGGGAAUUUUGGACAAUAGGGGAAGCCUGAUCCAGCCAGCCCGCGUGUGCCGAUGAAGGCCAGCCUCAGGUUGUAAAGCACUGUGGAAGAAACGGCGCAGGAUAAUACCCGUGCAACUGACAUACCUGCAGAAUAAGCACCGGCCAACGUGCAGCGCGGUAAUACGUAAGUGCAAGCGUUAAUCAGAUUACUGGAGGCGUAAAGCGUGCGCGGGCGGUUCGGAAAAGAGAUGCUGAGAUCCCAGGCAACGCUGGAACUGCCUUUACUUCAAACUCUGGUGUAUCGAAAAUCGUUCCGCGUGUAGCAGUGAAAUGCGUAGAUAUGCGGAGGAGCACCAUUAGCGAAGGCAGCCUCCUGGGAUAACACUGACGCUCAUGCGGCGUGAGGCAAACAGGAUUAGAUGCCUGGUAGUCCACGCCUAGGCGAUGUCAACUAGCUGUUGGGGCCUUCGGAGCCUUGUGGCGCAACUAACGCGUGAAGUUGACCGCCUGAGAGCCGGUCGCAGGUCAAAACUCGAGAAUUGACGGGGACCCGCAAGCGGUGGAUGAUGUGGUUAAUUCGAUGCAACACGCGAAAAACCUGCGGCAUAUGUGCUGGGUCGAAGAGAUUUGGGAGUGUAGAAGAACCGGAACACAGGUGCUGCAUGGCUGUCGUCAGCUCGUGUCGUGAGAUGUUGGGUUAAGUCCACUAACGACACAACCCUUGUCAUUAGAUUGCUACAGAGGCACUCUAAUGAGACUGCCGGUGACAAACCGGAGGAAGGUGGGGAUGUUUGUCAAGUCCUCAUGAACCCUUAUGGGUAGAGCUACGUCAUGCAAUAGUCAGGACAGUCAUAUCACUGCGAAACCAUCAGAACGAUCGUAGUCGGAUCUGAUCUGCAGCUCACGACUGCUAUUAAUUGGGUCUUCCGUAUCGGAUCAACAUAGAUUCUGCACUUUGUAACGUGGAUGCGUUUCUGCAGAUGUACGACUACCUACCUAUGCACCGUCACCAUGGAAUUAGGUUUUACCAGAGUAGUUAACCUAACCGUGGAGGGCGAUUACCAUGACCCAGGAUUCAUGACUGGGGUGAAGUCGUAACAAGAGUAG
rnacentral:rRNA from 1 species